CAAAAACAUAGCUAAUAGAAUAAAUAAUUGUUAGUGCCCCCUGCCCAGUGAAAUUUAAACGGCCGCGCAAGUGCUAAGGUAGCAUAAUAAUUCGCCUUUUAAUUGAAGGCUAGUAUAAACGGAGUUAUAGAUUGUUACUUUAUUUUUAAUAACUUUAAAAAUUAAAUUUUAUAUGAAAAUGUAUAAAUAUAAAAAAAAGACCAAAAGACCCUUGGAGCUUAAAUCUUACCCCUUUAAAGCUUUACAGAUUUUUGUUGGGGUGACAAGAGAUAAUCCUCUCUUAAUUUUAUUAUUUACAUCUUUUAAAUUCUAAAUUAGCUACCCUAGGGAUAACAGGCUAAUCUUUUUUACGAGUCCACAUUUACAAAAAGGACUAGCACCUCGAUGUUGGCUUAGGAGUAAACAAUAUGUAGCAGUAUCGUUUAAUGGCUUGUUCCGCCAAUAAUUUCCUACGUGAUCUG
rnacentral:rRNA from 1 species